rnacentral:rRNA from 1 species
CCCUUAGAUGUUCUGGGCCGCACGCGUGCUACACUGACCGGCGCAACAAGCUUUUUUCCUUGGCUCGACAGGCCUGGGUAAUCUUUGAACGCUGGUCGUGAUGGGGAUAGACUUUUGCAAUUUUUGGUCUUCAACGAGGAAUUCCUAGUAAACGCAAGUCAUCAACUUGCAUUGAUUACGUCCCUGCCCUUUGUACACACCGCCCGUCGCACCUACCGAUUGAAUGGUCCGGUGAAGCCUCCGGAUUGGCGCGCACCUCGGUGCCGCCGAGAAGUUGGCUAAACCUUACCAUUUAGAGGAAGGUGAANUCGUAACA